GCCCUAGCUCUUACAGCAACUCGAAAAUUCUUGAAGAAUUAGGGCUUCUCCCGCAUCUACUUUUGGUUUCGGGUAAUUGUUGAGGAACUAAACUGUGUUGCACAGAGUGGGCAAUACAAAACUUGCAAGAAAUUGGAGCAAUCAGAAAUAAAAGAAAAACGACAUCCUCUAUUAAGAAAAAUGGGAAGGCAAAAAGAUAAGUUUUGGCAACAUGCUGAGCCACUUGAUAGUUCACAUUUCAAAUGCAAAUUUUGUGAAAAACAAGUUUAUGGAGGAGUCACUCGCCUCAAGUAUCAUUUAGCUAAGGUUAGUGGUCAUGAUGUUGCCCCUUGUGAGAAAGUAUCUGAUGAUA